ACUAUGUCUCAUGAAGCCGUUAGAAGACUGUUGCUGACUGACAGGAGGUUUCCCGCAGACAGGUGUCACAGAAGCUGUGGCCACACGGCACUAGAACGGGAUCCUUGAAGAUGUCACGGCACACAAGACAGGAGAGAUCCUGCUAUUGGAAAGAUGAACCAGAAGCCAUUUUGUAAUGAAAUCAGUCACUUCCCUCUAAUAGCCCCUGAAAGAAGCAGACAUUGACUUCAGUGUUGUUUAAAUCUUAGUGUUGAUGAUAUUGUCCUGCUCUUCAAUAGAUGCUGUGAGUCUUGAAGUUGUGCUUGUAAAUUCAGGGAAAUCAAGUGAGAGGGAGCCAAGAUGGCGUCGCUGUGAGAGGGAGCCAAGAUGGCGUCGCUGUGAGAGGGAGCCAAGAUGGCGUCGCUGUGAGAGGGAGCCAAGAUGGCGUCGCUGUGAGAGGGAGCCA